rnacentral:lncRNA from 1 species
AUGCAACCGGCGCGCAGUUCACAUCACUUUGAAAAUAGCUUUGAAAAAAAAAAUCGCUUUGAAACUGCCGAACUGGGAUCCUGGGCCUCACUCCGCAGGCCUCGGAGCGGGCGUCAGAGCCAGGUUUUGCAGUCCUCUCGCCUCAGCUGCGGCCCCGCGACCACAAUUCCAGGUGCCCGCCAGGACCCUUCGAGCCCCGACAGCCCGGAAGCGCCUGACCACGCCUACCCACUGCGCCUGCGCGAGGCGCCCCCUCCGGCGAGCGGGGAGACUGGCGCUGGGCGGGCCGAGAGGCUCGUCGCGCCUGCGCGAAGGCCCCGGGGAGCAGCGUCGUUACUUUCCAAACGACUGGCGGGAACCGUUGGAGGCCGUGCGGUCGCCGUCUGGUCUGCCGGGCAGCAGCGCGCUCCCUCGUCCCUAGGCCUGGCCGUGGCGCCGCAGCUCUCCCGCGAGCAGAGGCGGAAAUCGUGGCCCAGUUCUUCUCAUUUGGCAUCAACAGCAUUUUAUAUCAGCGUGGCAUAUAUCCAUCUGAAACCUCUACCAGAGGGCAGAAAUACGGACUCACCUUGCUUAUAACAACAGAUCCUGAGCUCAUAAAAUAAUUCAAUCAUGUAGUGGACAAGUGAAAGAUUGGUUAUACAAGUGUUCAGUUCAGAAACUGGUGGUAUUCAUCUCAAAUAUUGAAAGCGGUGAAGUCCUUGAAAGGUGGAAGUUUGAUAUUGAGUGCGACAAGACUGCAAAAGAUGACAGGUAAGUAUGAAUUAAACUGCUUCCACUUUCAUAGAUUUUUUUUCCAAAACUUGUUUUCUUGACUCAAUGAUUCUAACUAUAUUGAACUAGUUUCGUAUAAGGUAGUUUGUUUCUAACUAUGUUAGAUCUCCCGUGGAGAAGAAUAAGACUCACAAACUGUGCUCACAAAAGAGUCGUGCCUAUUAUGGACUUGUAUAGUGUACUUUUAACAUAACUGCCCUUAGUCUAAAAUCCAUAAAUUUCACCCUUUAGUAUUUAUGGUGCUAUAUGUAAGCUACACAUGAUGUAUUAGGUGGGCCAUUUAAUGGAUUGUGUCAAGGUACUUUUAACCAUGAAGUAUUAUCCUAGAUUUUCUCCUAGCUUGAUAUGCAGCUCUACUGUAUUUCAUUUAACGCUAUUAACUUCCUAAGACACUCUGAACUGAAGUUCUUAGAUCCUCUGGAUGGGAAAUGCCCCCUCAUUAUAUGCUAAUUCUUAGCAUUGUCCCAGGCAUGCUUACCUGUAAACUCAGAACUCUCUCUCAUAAUGAAAUGUAGUUUGUUCCUGAAGCCUUUGGUCUGUUUUAGAAAAUGUUUAUUUUAUUUUUUAGUAAAUUUAUUUUUUAUUGGUUUUCAAUUUACCAACAUACAGAAUAACACCCAGUGCUCAUGCCGUCAAGUGCCCCCCUCAGUGCCCACCACCCAGUCACCCCCACCCCCGCCCUCCUCCCCUGCCACCACCCCUAGUUCGUUUCCCAGAGUUAGGAGUAUGUAUGUUCCGUCUCCCUUUCUGAUAUUUCCCACACAUUUCUUCUCCCUUCCCUUAUAUUCCCUUUCACUAUUAUUUAUAUUCCCCAAAUGAAUGAGAACAUACAAUGUUUGUCCUUCUCCGACUGACUUAUACUGCACUCAGCAUAAUACCCUGCAGUUCCAUCCACGUUAAGCAAAUGGUGGGUAUUUGUCAUUUCUAAUGGCUGAGUAAUGUUCCAUUGUAUACAUAAACCACAUCUUCUUUAUCCAUUCAUCUUUCGAUGGACACCGAGGCUCCUUCCACAGUUUGGCUAUUGUGGACAUUGCUUCCAGAAACAUCCGGGUGCAGGUGGGUGCAGGUGUCCCGGCGUUUCAUUGCUUCUGCAUCUCUGAAGUAAAUCCCCAGAGGUGCAAUUGCUGGGUCAUAGGGCAGGUCUAUUUCUAACUCUUUGAGGAACCUCCACACAGUUUUCCAGAGUGGCUGCACCAGUUCACAUUCCCACCAACAGUGUAAGAGGGUUGCCUUUUCUCCGCAUCAUCUCCAACAUUUGUGGUUUCCUGCCUUGUUAAUUUUCCCAACUCUCAUGGUGUAAGGUGGUAUCUCAUUGUGGUUUUGGUUUGUAUUUCCCUGAUGGCAAGUGAUGCAGAGCAUUUUCUCAUGUGGGUGUUGGCCAUGUCUAUGUCUUCCUCUGUGAGAUUUCCCUUCAUGUCUUUUGCCCAUUUCAUGAUUGGAUUGUAUGUUUCUUUGGUGUUGAGUUUAAGAAGUUCUUUAUAGAUCUUGGAUGCUAACCCUUUUAUCUGAUAUGUCAUUUGCAAAUAUCUUCUCCCAUUCUGUAAGUUGUCUUGUAGUUUUGUUGACUGAAUCCUUUGCUGUGCAAAAGCUUCUUAUCUUGAUGAAGUCCCAAUAGUUCAUUUUUGCUUUUGUUUCUUUUGCCUUCAUGGAUGUAUCUUGCAAGAAGUUAUUGUGGCCGAGUUCAAAAAGGGUGUUGCCUGUGUUCUACUCUAGGAUUUUGAUGGAAUCUUGUCUCACAUUUAGAUCUUUCAUCCAUUUUGAGUUUAUCUUUGUGUGUGGUGAAAGAGAGUGGUCUAGUUUCAUUCCUCUGCAUGUGGAUGUCCAAUUUUCCCAGCACCAUUUAUUAAAGAGACUUUCUUCCAAUGGAUAAUCUUUCCUCCUUUAUCGAAUAUUAGUUGACCAUAAAGUUCAGGGUCCAUUUCUGGGUUCUCUAUUCUGUUCCAUUGAUCUAUGUGUCUGUUUUUGUGCUGGUACCACACUGUCUUGAUGACCACAGCUUUGUAGCAUAACCUGAAAUCUGGCAUUGUGAUGCCCCCAGAUAUGGUUUUCUUUUUUAAAAUUCCCCUGGCUAUUUGGGGUCUUUUCUGAUUCCACACAAAUCUUAAAAUAAUUUGUUCUCUCUGAAGAAAGUCCAUGGUAUUUUGAUAGGGAUGCAUUAAACAUGUACAUUGCUCUGGGUAACAUUGACAUUUUCACAAUCUUAAUUCUGCCAAUCCAUGAGCAUGGAAUAUUUUUCCAUCUCUUUGUGUCUUCCUCAAUUUCUUUCACAAGUGUUCUAUAGUUUUUAGGGUAUAGUUCCUUUACCUCUUUGGUUAGGUUUCUUCCUAGGUAUCUUAUGCUUUUGGGUGCAAUUGUAAAUGGGAUGGACUCUUUAAUUUCUCUUUCUUCAGUCUCAUUGUUAGUGUAUAGAAAUGCCAUUGAUUUCUGGGCAUUGAUUUUGUAUCCUGCCACACUGCCAAAUUGCUAUAUGAGUUCUAGCAAUCUUGGGGUGGAGGCUUUUGGGUUUUCUAUGUAGAGUAUCAUGUCAUCGGCGAAGAGGGAGAGUUUGACUUCUUCUUUGUCAAUUUGAAUGCCUUUAAUGCCUUUUUUUUGUCUGAUUGCUGAGGCUAGGACUUCCAGUACUAUGUUGAAUAGCAGUGGUGAGAGUGGACAUCCCUGUCUUGUUCCUGAUCUUAGGGGAAAGGCUCCCAGUGCUUCCCCAUGGAGAAUGAUAUUUGCUGUGGGCUUUAGGUAGAUGGCUUUUAAGAUGUUGAAGAAUGUUCCCUCUAUCCCUACACUCUGAAGAGUUUUGAUCAGGAAUGGAUGCUGUAUUUUGUCAAAUCCUUUCUCUGCAUCUAAUGGGAGGAUCCUAUGGUUCUUGGUUUUUCUCUUGCUGAUAUGAUGGAUCACAUUGUUUGUUUUAUGAGUAUUGAACCAGCCUUCUGUCCCGGGGAUAAAUCGUACAUGGUCAUGGUGAAUAAUUUUCUUAAUGUGUUGUUGGAACCUAUUGGCUAGUAUCUUCUUGAGAAUUUUUGCAUCCAUAUUCAUCAGGGAUAUUGGUCUGUAAUUCUCCUUUUGGUGGGGUCUUUGUCUGGUUUUGGAAUUAAGGUGAUGCUGGCCUCAUAGAAAGAAUUUGGAAGUACUCCAUCUCUUUCUAUCUUUCCAAACAGCUUUAGUAGAAUAGGUAUGGUUUCUUCUUUAAACGUUUGAUAGAAUUCCCCUGGGAAGCCAUCUGGCCCUGGACUUUUGUGUCUUGAGGGGUUUUUGAUGACUGCUUCAAUUUCCUCCCUGGUUAUUGGCCUGUUUAGGUUUUCUAUUUCUUCCUGUUCCAGUUUUGGUAGUUUGUGGCUUUCCAGGAAUGUGUCCAUUUCUUCUAGAUUGCCUAAUUUAUUGGCCUAUAGCUGUUCGUAAUAUGUUUUUAAAAUCGUUUGUAUUUCCUUGGUGUUGGUAGUGAUCUCUCCUUUCUCAUUCAUGACUUUCUUAAUUUGAGUCUUCUCUAUCUUCUUUUUAAUAAGGUUGGCUAACGGUUUAUCUAUCUUAUUAAUUCUUUCAUAGAACCAACUCCUGUUUAUGUUGAUCUGUUCCACAGUUCUUUUGGUCUUGAUUUCGUUGAGUUCUGCUCGAAUCUUUCUUAACUCUCUUCUUUUUUUUUUUUUUUUAUUUAUUUAUGAUAGUCACAGAGAGAGAGAGAGAGGAGAGAACAGGCAGAGGAGAAGCAGGCUCCAUGCACCGGGAGCCGACAUGGAUUCGAUCCGGUCUCCAGGACCGCCCUGGCCAAGGCAGCGCCAACCGCUGCGCCCCAGGAUCCCUUAACUCUCUUCUUCUACUGGGUGUAGGAUCUAUUUGCUGUUUCUUCUCUAGCUCCUUUAUGUGUAAGGUUAGCUUUUAUAUUUGAGAUCUUUCCAGUUUUUGAGUGGAUGCUUGUAUUGCGAUGUAUUUGCCCCUUAGGACUGCUUUUGCUGCAUCCCAAUGAUUUUGAAUGGUUGUACCUUCAUUCUCAUUAGUUGCCAUGAAUCUUUUUAAUUCUUCCUUAAUUUCCUGGUUGACCCUUUCAUCUUUUAGCAAGAUGAUCCUUAACCUCCACGUGUUUGAAGGCCUUCCAAACUUCUUGUUGUGAUUUAGUUCUAAUAUCAAGGCAUUAUGGUCUGAGAAUAUGCAGGGGACGAUCCCAGUAUUUUGGUAUCGGUUCAAGCCCCAUUUGUGACCCAGGAUGUGGUCUAUUCUGGAGAAAGUUCCAUGUG